AUUGAACGCUGGCGGCAGGCCUAACACAUGCAAGUCGAACGAGUGGCGGACGGGUGAGUAAUGUCUGGGAAACUGCCUGAUGGAGGGGGAUAACUACUGGAAACGGUAGCUAAUACCGCAUACCCUCGGAUGUGCCCAGAUGGGAUUAGCUAGUGGGUGGGGUAAAGGCUAACCAAGGCGACGAUCCCUAGCUGGUCUGAGAGGAUGACCAGCAACACUGGAACUGAGACACGGUCCAGACUCCUACGGGGGGAAGCAUUGGGGAAUAUUGCACAAUGGGCGCAAGCCUGAUGCAGCCAUGCCGCGUGUAUGAAGAAGGCCUUCGGGUUGUAAAGUACUUUCAGCGGGGAGGCGUUACCCGCAGAAGAAGCACCGGCUAACUCCGUGCCAGCAGCCGCGGUAAUUC
rnacentral:rRNA from 1 species